rnacentral:rRNA from 1 species
CUGGAGGAAGGUGGGGAUGACGUCAAAUCAUCAUGCCCUUAUGUCUUGGGCUUCACGCAUGCUACAAUGGCCGGUACAAAGGGCUGCGGUACCGCGAGGUGGAGCCGAAUACCCAGAAAGCCGGUCUCAGUUCGGAUUGGGGUCUGCAACUCGACCCCAUGAAGUCGGAGUCGCUAGUAAUCGCAGAUCAGCAACGCUGCGGUGAAUACGUUCCCGGGCCUU